GACGAACGCUGGCGGCGUGCCUAAUACAUGCAAGUAGAACGCUGAAGGAGGAGCUUGCUCUUCUGGAUGAGUUGCGAACGGGUGAGUAACGCGUAGGUAACCUGCCUGGUAGCGGGGGAUAACUAUUGGAAACGGUAGCUAAUACCGCAUAACAGUAGAUGUUGCAUGACAUUUACUUAAAAGGUGCAAUUGCAUCACUACCAGAUGGACCUGCGUUGUAUUAGCUAGUUGGUGGGGUAACGGCUCACCAAGGCGACGAUACAUAGCCGACCUGAGAGGGUGAUCGGCCACACUGGGACUGAGACACGGCCCAGACUCCUACGGGAGGCAGCAGUAGGGAAUCUUCGGCAAUAGACGGAAGUCUGACCGAGCAACGCCGCGUGAGUGAAGAAGGUUUUCGGAUCGUAAAGCUCUGUUGUAAGAGAAGAACGAGUGUGAGAGUGGAAAGUUCACACUGUGACGGUAUCUUACCAGAAAGGGACGGCUAACUACGUG
rnacentral:rRNA from 1 species